rnacentral:lncRNA from 10 species
GAGGAGGUGGAGUCUGCUGUUCCCAGUGCAGUGUGAGCCGCUGAAACAUCCGCUCAGGGCCACAUGACCAUUUUCAGGAGCUCACUCUGGGUGCGUGUGGAGAGUAGAUUUCAGGCGUGGGAAGAGGAGUGGGAGCAGGAGGUCCCAUGGGGGCUGUUGUAAUGACCCAGGUGAGGACAGAGGUGCAGACUUUGGGACAGCAGCAGGGUGUGGACAGGAGUGGACAGACGGGGUGCAUUUUCAAUUCAAUAGAUUCCAUGGCAGCUGGAAGAUGAGGGAGGGCCUGAGGAUGCUGCCUGCUCACUGGCUUGAGGAACCGGGCGUUUGGUGGCGCCACCAACUGAAAGGGGACACUGAGUCUUUGGUGGCUUCAUUGAAAACUUGCCAGAUAUGAAAGCCUGAGACGCUCCGAUAACUGAGCCUCCAGGCUGUCCUCCCAAGGGCCUUCUGGAUAGGAGGCCAUGGGUACAAAGGAACUGGCAUCCUGGUUCCCAUGUCCCAGGCCCAACCCAGGGACUGAGCCCCAGGAAGACCACAGAGCAGCACAAAGCCCAGAUCUGCUGCUGCCUGGGCAGAGCCAAGCCCAGGAUUUAUGAAGGAAGCUGGCAGGAGCGGAAAAAUUCCUUCGAAGAUUGCCUCACUCAUCACCAUCCUCGGUGGCACCCUCAACCACAGGAUGGAGAAUCAUUAGAAGAUGGCAGUCUCAUAGGGUCCUUCAAAAUUACCACUUGCAUUUGAACAAAGCUGUGCUUUCUUAGCCCCAACCCUCCCCAUAAGCCUGGGCUAUCAACUGGAGAUAAAUUUAGCUGCAAAAAAAUGUCAAGAUUCAGAUACCCAGCUUAAUCAAGGACACAUUCUUCAUUCCUCGGACUGUUGUACUUCUCAGGAGACCCCAGGGAUUGCAUGAGAGACUGAAUCAUCUUCACAAACAGGAGAAAACAGAGGCCCCAAGAGCUCAUGUAACUAGCUUGUAGAUGGUACAACCUCAUCUUGAACCUAGAACUCCAACUCCAGAGCUUGGGCCAAUAACCAUGCAUCACCUUUGCAAGGGAGUCUUCUAGGGUGACCAGAUUUAGCAAAUAAAAGCACAGGAUGCCUGCCCAGUUACACAAUGAAUAUCUAAAUAUUGCAUGGUCCUGGAAUGAAUCUGGCAAUCUUAGAUUCUCCUGGCUGAAUCUCCAGUGCUGACAACAUGGCCCAGCACAGAGUCCUCCACAGAUGACCAGAGACAAAGCAGGAAACGUGGCCCGUGGGACUGAUAUCGUCACCAUGAGACCUGUGAAGAGGGUGACGAGGCACACCAAGAGGACAAAAGGAACAGGUUGAAAUGUGUGGCUACGUCUAGAAGGAAAAUGAUAACAGGCAUCCUUGUGAAGAGACACUGGUCAUCUAAAUUCAUGGCACGUCUGCAUAGCGUUCAGGAAAGUGUUUCAAAAACGUCCUCAAAAAUUUUCCCUAUCUAUACCCCACUUGUACUAUGUUUUACUUUUUUCUUUAAUUUGACUCACUGUUUUACAUAAAUAAAUAUAUUCAAACAGAACACUUGAUAUCACCACUGUAAAAGUAAAACUAUUAUCAUUUGCUGUAAGUUGAAGGUUACUAUAUGAUAUGGUUCGGCUAUAUCCUCACCCAAAUCUCAUCUUGAACUGUAGUUCUCAUAAUCCCCACAUGUUGUGGGAGGACCCUGGUGGGAAGUGCUUGAAUCACAGAGGCAGCUACCUCCAUGCUGUUCACGUGAUAGUGAGUGAGUUCUCAUGAGAUCUGAUGGUUUUAUAAGGGGCUUUUCCUUCCCUUCACUCUGCACUUCUCCUUCCUGCCACCAUGAGAAGAAGGACAUGUUUGGUUCCCCUUCUGCCAUGAUUGUAAGUUUCCUGAGGCUUCUCUAGCCAUG